rnacentral:misc_RNA from 1 species
CAGAAAACAAAAAGCGGCCUCUUGAAACAGUACAAUCAUCAGCAUUCAAUCCUCAAGUUCCCGUCGACAAGUGGGGCACGAAUUCCGAACCUUCAACCAGCGAGAGAUGCAUCGUUCAUGAAAUAUAUGAGAGCACGGCAUCUUCGUGAGUGGGAAUCUGGCUCCAGAUAAUUCCUCUAAACAAAUCGCACUGUCACCGCCCUCCUCAGCGAAAAACCUCCACUUCCUCAACUUGUUCAGCACGGAACUUGAUGCACUUCUGGGAAUCACUUCUUGGCUCACUUCGUCCA